AUUUCAACCAGAAGAGAGUACAGUUUUGGGUCCUGGGAUGUGGUUCUGUUCUGACAGGGUCCACUAUGAUGAUCACAGUGAAUAUGUGGGUAGAGGUCUGCUGUGACUGGCAGCGCAAGAAACUCAAAUGUUGUUUUGCAGAAUGAGCCUAACUCUCAACUGCUCUCCACUUUAACUUAGCACACCACCAAGCCAGCAAUUAAGACAUCCAAGAAUUUCAUGUUGAGGAAAGGGAAAAGACCCAAACAUUGCCAUGAGGACUCCAUAUGGAAGAAAAUGCAAGCAAAUCCAGCAUGGAAAAAUGAGGUAGAAGAAAUCAUAUAUUCCUUCACUGUAAAGAGAAAGUGAGUUUUAAAGAGGAAACAAUGGCUUCAAACAGCGUAUUUGAUUCACUUCCUUCUUACCAGCACUUCUUGAGAGGUCACAGAAUGCAGGGGGAAACAGCCAUAUCUGUUGUAAACUCAUCUCACGGAACUGUAGCACAACCGAAGUCUCUCAUUCAUGGACGGCUUAUGAAUUUGGGAGUUGAUUUCCACAUUUAGAGAAAACGGAAAGAAGAGAGAACACAUUGUAGCAAAAUGAAAAACCUAAAAAAAUACUAAUCCAAGGUAGUGAAAAAUAUUUUUCUUCAAUCUGAACGUAAAUGUUUUUGUUUGGGUUUGAUUUACUAAUCUUUUAUAAUUUUUCCUUUCAUUUUUUUAAUGUAGACUAGUCCUCAAACAAACACACAACAGACAAGCAAAAACUACCAAUAUAGUCGAAGUAUUCAUUCUAAAAAUGCCUCAGUGACAAUUUAUAAAAAGCCCAUUUAGAAAAUGUCAAAAUGAAAUUCAUCACUUCAAAACAAUUUCCCCAUUUUUUUGGAUUGACUCUGUAUGCAAAUUUUAUUCUAAUUAACGAACUGUGGUUCACUCCCAUAAAGUACCAUCUUACACGGG
rnacentral:lncRNA from 1 species